rnacentral:rRNA from 1 species
CUGGCGGCGUGCCUAACACAUGCAAGUCGAACGAGAAAGUGGAGCAAUCCAUGAGUAAAGUGGCGACCGGGUGAGUAACACGUGACUAACCUACCUCCGAGUGGGGAAUAACUCCGGGAAACCGGGGCUAAUACCGCAUAACAUCGCAAGAUCAAAGCAGCAAUGCGCUUGGAGAGGGGGUCGCGGCUGAUUAGCUCGUUGGCGGGGUAACGGCCCACCAAGGCGAAGAUCGGUAUCCGGCCUGAGAGGGCGCACGGACACACUGGAACUGAAACACGGUCCAGACUCCUACGGGAGGCAGCAGUGGGGAAUUUUGCGCAAUGGGGGAAACCCUGACGCAGCAACGCCGCGUGGAGGAUGAAGCCCUUUGGGGCGUAAACUCCUUUCGACUCGGACGAUAAUGACGGUACGAGUGGAAGAAGCACCGGCUAACUCUGUGCCAGCAGCCGCGGUAAUACAGAGGGUGCGAGCGUUGUUCGGAAUUAUUGGGCGUAAAGGGCGCGUAGGCGGUGCGGUAAGUCACCUGUGAAAUCUCCUGGCUUAACUGGGAGCCUGCAGGCGAAACUACCGUGCUG